rnacentral:lncRNA from 1 species
AUGACUGUGUUCAUUCUCUCAGAAGUCCCAUCUGAAGGAACUCAGUGCUGUGUUGUCAGCCCUUCCCCUGCCCUUCUUGACUUAUCAAAAAAAUCCACAUUUGUGGCCAGUUUUAUAUUUAUAGAUAUAUGAAACUUAAAAUGUAGCAAAUAAAUUACAAGAAAACAAGAUGGAAGAAAGAUUGACAGACUGAAAUACUUAAAAGAUAGAUAUUCCAUCCCUGUAUGUGGACCUU